CCCCUGGUGGCCUAGUGGGGGUUUGCUGGAUUACUACGCCGGCGACCCGGGUUCGAUUCCCAGCAA